rnacentral:rRNA from 1 species
UACAGAGGGGGCAAGCGUUAUUCGGAAUUAUUGGGCGUAAAGGGCGCGAUAGGCGGCUUGGCUAAGUGGAUGGUGAAAUCCCUCGGCUUAACCUCGAGGAACUGCCGUCCAAACUGCUUCGCUUGAGACCGGGAGAGGUGAGUGGGAAUUCCCAGUGUAGCGGUGAAAUGCGUAGAUAUUGGGAAGAACACCGAUGGCGAAGGCAGCCAUCUGGGACCGACACUGACGCUGAGGCGCGAAAGCGUGGGGAUCAAACAGGG